UACGGAGGAUCCAAGCGUUAUCCGGAUUUAUUGGGUUUAAAGGGUGCGUAGGCGGGCUAUUAGGUCAGUGGUGAAAGCCCCAGGCCUAACCUGGGAACUGCCAUUGAUACUGAUGGCCUUGAGUACAUUUGAGGUGGGCGGAAUGUGUCAUGUAGCGGUGAAAUGCUUAGAUAUGACACAGAACACCGAUUGCGAAGGCAGCUCACUAAACUGUAA
rnacentral:rRNA from 1 species